rnacentral:lncRNA from 1 species
AUAAGCAAUUUAAUCAGACUCUUAACUCCUAGUGGAAUGGAUGCAAUAAUUAAAUGUUUUCCAACAACAACAAAAGGCCCAGGGCCAGAUGUAUUCAAUACAGUACUCCCAGACCUUCAACUUCAAAGAAGAAUUAACACUAAUACCCCUCAAAUUAUUCCACAAAAAGAAAACAGAAAGAACAUUGCCUAGUACUUUUUAUAAGCCUGCAAUUACCCUGAUGCCAAAUCCAUAUAAAUACUCAGGAAAACCAGAAAGUUAUAGAUCAAUAUCUGUUAUAAACAUACAUACAACAAUUCUCAAUAAAAUAGUUGCAAAUGGAAUCCAAGAACACAUCAAAGAGUAUUCAUCAUGAUUUAGUAGAGAUUAGUAGGCUUCAUCUCAGAAAGUGAGGGAAGGUCCAAUGCAUGUAAAUCAAUAAAUGAAAUUGGACACAUAAACAGACUGAGAUAUAACAACCAUAAGAUCAUCUGCUAGGUUCAGAAACGCCCUUUGACAAAAUCAAACAUCCCUUCAUGAUAAAAAUCCUAGAAAGACUAGGGAUAGCACAACAUAAUAAAGUCAAUUUAGAGCAAGCUCACAGCCUAUGUCAACCUAAUGAAGAGUUUCUUCACUAAAAUCUGGAACAAGACAAGGAUAUCCACUCUCUCCAUAGUAUUCACUAUAGUAUGCAAAGUCUUAGCUAGAAAAAUAAGACAACGAAGAGAUCACUGCUUUCCUUCAUAAUACUUGCUUGAAUCACCGUGUUUCUUUACAGCACUACAACAGGGAUGAAGACACCAAGCAAGUCAAAGACUUGCAUAAUAAAAAAUUUAAGACACUGAAGAAAGAAACUGAAAUAGAUAUCAGAAAUAGAUAGAUCUCCCAUGCUCAUGGAUGGGUAGGAUUAAUAGAGUAGAAAUGGCCAUCCUACCAAAGCCUCUAAACAAGAUGUGGGUAGCACAGUCAUUAAAACAAGCAAUAAGUUUGACCUCAUUAAGCUGAAAAGGCUGUGUAAGGCAAAGGACAUCUUCAUUCAAGCAAAGCAGCAGUCUUCAAAGUAAGAAAAACUCUUUACCAAUUAUUUAAAAUAUAUAAAGAACU